CAUGGAUCCAGUAAUUUGCUGUAAUGAUCCUUGAGUUCAUAACACCUCCUGCCUCAAGUUUUGAAAACAUGCUUCUCCUGGGCUAGUCUUACUAAAGUAAGU